UACGGAGGAGGCAAGCGUUAUCCGGAAUUAUUGGGCGUAAAGCGCGUGUAGGCGGCUUUGCAAGUCGGGUGUGAAAUCCCUCAGCUUAACUGAGGAAGUGCGCCCGAAACUGCAGAGCUUGAGUACCGGAGAGGGUGGCGGAAUUCCCCAAGUAGAGGUGAAAUUCGUAGAUAUGGGGAGGAACACCGGUGGCGAAGGCGGCCACCUGGACGGAUACUGACGCUGAGACGCGAAAGCGUGGGUAGCAAACAGG
rnacentral:rRNA from 1 species